UACGUAGGUCCCGAGCGUUGUCCGGAUUUAUUGGGCGUAAAGCGAGCGCAGGUGGUUUAUUAAGUUUGGUGUAAAAGGCAGUGGCUCAACCAUUGUAUGCAUUGGAAACUGGUAGACUUGAGUGCAGGAGAGGAGAGUGGAAUUCCAUGUGUAGCGGUGAAAUGCGUAGAUAUAUGGAGGAACACCGGUGGCGAAAGCGGCUCUCUGGUCUGUAACUGACGCUGAGGUUCGAAAGCGUGGGUAGCAAACAGG
rnacentral:rRNA from 1 species